rnacentral:rRNA from 1 species
UACGGAGGGUGCGAGCGUUAAUCGGAAUUACUGGGCGUAAGGCGCGCGUAGGCGGUUUGUUAAGUCGGAUGUGAAAGCCCCGGGCUCAACCUGGGAACUGCACCCGAUACUGGCCGACUUGAGUGCGAGAGAGGGAGGCAGAAUUCCAUGUGUAGCGGUGAAAUGCGUAGAUAUAUGGGGGAAUACCGGUGGCGAAGGCGGCCUCCUGGCUCGACACUGACGCUGAGGUGCGAAAGCGUGGGUAGCAAACAGG